GAUCACAGGCGAAGAAGGACGUAAUAGCUUGCGAAAAGCUGCGGGGAGUUGGCAAAUGAGCAUUGAUCCGCAGAUAUCCGAAUGGGGAAACCCACCUCUUUUUAGGAGGUAUCCUUAUCUGAAUACAUAGGGUGAGGAGGCGAACCGAGUGAACUGAAACAUCUAAGUAACUCGAGGAGAAGAAAUCAACCGAGAUUCUGAAAGUAGUGGCGAACGAAAUUGGAGCAGCCGCAACGAGAUAGUAAUUGUAGUAGUCGAACUUACUGGGAAGUAAGACCGUAGAGGGUGAUAGUCCUGUAGACGAAACUAUAGUUAUGGUACUAGGCGUUGCAACAAGUAGGGCGGGACACGUGUAAUCCUGUUCGAAGAUGGGGGGACCAUCCUCCAAGGCUAAAUACUCGUGAUCGACCGAUAGUGAACCAGUACCGUGAGGGAAAGGCGAAAAGAACCCCGGGAGGGGAGUGAAAUAGAACCUGAAACCGUGUGCAUACAAACAGUCGGAGCCUCAGAUUAAAGAGUCUUUUUUAAAGUAAAAAGAAUCGAAUCGAUUUGAUUAAACCGAAAUCGAAUUGAUCUAAGUAAAUAUAAGCUUUAGAGAGGGUUUUUUAAUCUGGGGUGACGGCGUACCUUUUGUAUAAUGGGUCAGCGACUUACAUUCAGUGGCAAGCUUAACCGAAUAGGGUAGGCGUAGCGAAAGCGAGUCCGAAUAGGGCGUCUAUAGUCGCUGGGUGUAGACCCGAAACCAGAUGAUCUAUCCAUGGCCAGGUUGAAGGUGCCGUAACAGGUACUGGAGGACCCAACCCACUAAUGUUGAAAAAUUAGGGGAUGAGCUGUGGAUAGGGGUGAAAGGCUAAACAAAUCUGGAAAUAGCUGGUUCUCUCCGAAAACUAUUUAGGUAGUGCCUCAUGAAUAACUGUUGGGGGUAGAGCACUGUUAUGGCUAGGGGGUCAUGGCGACUUACCAAACCAUGGCAAACUCCGAAUACUGACAAGUUCGAUCAUGGGAGACAGAGCACUGGGUGCUAACGUCCAGACUCAAGAGGGAAACAACCCAGACCGCCAGCUAAGGUCCCUAAAAUUGGCUAAGUGGGAAACGAAGUGGGAAGGCAUAGACAGUCAGGAGGUUGGCUUAGAAGCAGCCACCCUUUAAAGAAAGCGUAAUAGCUCACUGAUCGAGUCGUCCUGCGCGGAAGAUGUAACGGGGCUAAGCCAGUUACCGAAGCUGCGGAUGC
rnacentral:rRNA from 1 species